AGAGUUUGAUCCUGGCUUAGGAUGAACGCUGGCGGCGUGCCUAACACAUGCAAGUCGAGCGAUUACUUCGGUAAAGAGCGGCGGACGGGUGAGUAACGCGUGGGUAACCUGCCUCAUACACAUGGAUAACAUACCGAAAGGUAUGCUAAUACAGGAUAAUAUAAGAGAUUCACAUGGAUUUCUUAUCAAAGCUCCGGCGGUAUGAGAUGGACCCGCGUCUGAUUAGCUAGUUGGUAAGGUAAUGGCUUACCAAGGCGACGAUCAGUAGCCGACCUGAGAGGGUGAUCGGCCACAUUGGAACUGAGACACGGUCCAAACUCCUACGGGAGGCAGCAGUGGGGAAUAUUGCACAAUGGGCGAAAGCCUGAUGCAGCAACGCCGCGUGAGUGAUGAAGGCCUUCGGGUCGUAAAACUCUGUCCUCAAGGAAGAUAAUGACGGUACUUGAGGAGGAAGCCCCGGCUAACUACGUGCCAGCCGCCGC
rnacentral:rRNA from 1 species